UAUGAACAUAUUAUGGGACAAUUAAUAUUCCUGGCCGAGUCCCCAAGCCUAAGAAAAAAUCCACCUACACUAGGUUACCCUAGGAAAUUCAAUCAUAAAUAAACUUUUUUUCACUUUCUUACACCUAAGAUCAUUUGAAUGGCUGUGUAUUUGUAUCGGAGUGCAGGAAGGAGAGCGGGACGGAUAAAAUGACCAAGUCUUUCGGAUGAGAGUCCUGGAGAGAAGCGCGUGUAUUUAUUGUGACGCCACUGAGUUACCGGCGACAUACGUAUAACAUUUCAGACUCAAUGGCGUAAACAGCGGCUGAAAAACAACGGCUUUAUAGG